GGUUUGACCUCGGAUCAGGUAGGGAUACCCGCUGAACUUAAGCAUAUCAAUAAGCGGAGGAAAAGA
rnacentral:rRNA from 1 species